CUCUCUCAGACUGGCGCCGUGCCUCACCGAAAGAUGAUCUAGUAGACCGUGGCGUUCGUGGUUUGACCGUUUGGCGCCGCCAUUCAAACACAUGUAGUGAACGGUGCAGGAGUGUGCUGGGAAUACUCAAUAUGCGUCCACGUAAACUACAUCGAAGACGGCAUGGAAGCGAUACUUCACGCAAGUUUAUCACGGAAUCUGAGACGACAUAGGAAGGCCUCAACAAGAACAUUAAACUGGCGUUUUGGUAUGCUGAGCACAGCAGCGUGGCUGGAACCGGGCAGAAGUAAAAAUGCGUGGAGGUGCAUAUAAACGAUAUCUUAAUGAGAGGCCCUCAGAUCCACCGAAGGCUACAAGGCUGAGUUCUUCUGUUCUGCACAUUUUUUUUUUAUUAUUUAAAUAAAGAGUGAACAGAUUA